UGCAUGUCUAAGUAUAAGCGAGUAUACUGUGAAACUGCGAAUGGCUCAUUAAAUCAGUUAUGGUUUAUUUGAUGGUACCUUACUACUUGGAUACCCGUAGUAAUUCUAGAGCUAAUACAUGCAGGAGUUCGUGCGCGGCUCGUCCGCGCGCGAUGUAUUUAUUAGAUAAGAGACCAACCCGCCUCGUGCGGUUGCGUGCCGAGUCAUAAUAACUGUUCGAAUCGCAUGGCUCUGACGCCGGCGAUGGUUCAUUCAAAUUUCUGCCCUAUCAGCUUUCGAUGGUAGGAUAGAGGCCUACCAUGGCGUUAACGGGUAACGGGGAAUUAGGGUUCGAUUCCGGAGAGGGAGCCUGAGAGAUGGCUACCACAUCCAAGGAAGGCAGCAGGCGCGUAAAUUGCCCGAAUCCUGACACAGGGAGGUAGUGACAAGAAAUAACAAUACAGGGCCAUCUUGGUCUUGUAAUUGGAAUGAGUACAAUUUACAUCUCUUCACGAGGAUCAAUUGGAGGGCAAGUCUGGUGCCAGCAGCCGCGGUAAUUCCAGCUCCAAUAGCGUAUAUUAAAGUUGUUGCAGUUAAAACGCUCGUAGUCGGAUUUCGGGUCGGUUGCGCCGGUCUGCCGAUGGGUAUGCACUGGCGGAGUCGGCCUUUCUUCCGGAGACCGCGCCUCCUCUUAGCUGAGCGGGUGCGGGAGACGGAUCGUUUACUUUGAAAAAAUCAGAGUGUUUCAAGCAGGCAGCUCGCUCUUGCAUGGAUUAGCAUGGGAUAAUGAAAUAGGACUCUGGUGCUAUUUUGUUGGUUUCGAACACCGGAGUAAUGGUCAACAGGGACAGUCAGGGGCACUCGUAUUCCGCCGAGAGAGGUGAAAUUCUCAGACCAGCGGAAGACGAACCACUGCGAAAGCAUUUGCCAGGGAUGUUUUCACUGAUCAAGAACGAAAGUUAGGGGAUCGAAGACGAUCAGAUACCGUCGUAGUCUUAACCAUAAACCAUGCCGACUAGGGAUUGGAGGCUGUUCCUUUUGUGACUCCUUCAG
rnacentral:rRNA from 1 species